UUAAAUGGAAUCAAAUACAAAAAAAAGAGAAAAAAUGGUAAAAUAUUCAAAAUAAAUUCUAGU
rnacentral:ribozyme from 1 species